rnacentral:rRNA from 1 species
AAAUUGAAGAGUUUGAUCAUGGCUCAGAUUGAACGCUGGCGGCAGGCCUAACACAUGCAAGUCGAACGGUAACAGGAAAAAGCUUGCUUUUUUGCUGACGAGUGGCGGACGGGUGAGUAAUGUCUGGGAAACUGCCUGAUGGAGGGGGAUAACUACUGGAAACGGUAGCUAAUACCGCAUAACGUCGCAAGACCAAAGAGGGGGACCUUCGGGCCUCUUGCCAUCGGAUGUGCCCAGAUGGGAUUAGCUUGUUGGUGGGGUAACGGCUCACCAAGGCGACGAUCCCUAGCUGGUCUGAGAGGAUGACCAGCCACACUGGAACUGAGACACGGUCCAGACUCCUACGGGAGGCAGCAGUGGGGAAUAUUGCACAAUGGGCGCAAGCCUGAUGCAGCCAUGCCGCGUGUAUGAAGAAGGCCUUCGGGUUGUAAAGUACUUUCAGCGGGGAGGAAGGGAGUAAAGUUAAUACCUUUACUCAUUGACGUUACCCGCAGAAGAAGCACCGGCUAACUCCGUGCCAGCAGCCGCGGUAAUACGGAGGGUGCAAGCGUUAAUCGGAAUUACUGGGCGUAAAGCGCACGCAGGCGGUUUGUUAAGUCAGAUGUGAAAUCCCCGGGCUCAACCUGGGAACUGCAUCUGAUACUGGCAAGCUUGAGUCUCGUAGAGGGGGGUAGAAUUCCAGGUGUAGCGGUGAAAUGCGUAGAGAUCUGGAGGAAUACCGGUGGCGAAGGCGGCCCCCUGGACGAAGACUGACGCUCAGGUGCGAAAGCGUGGGGAGCAAACAGGAUUAGAUACCCUGGUAGUCCACGCCGUAAACGAUGUCGACUUGGAGGUUGUGCCCUUGAGGCGUGGCUUCCGGAGCUAACGCGUUAAGUCGACCGCCUGGGGAGUACGGCCGCAAGGUUAAAACUCAAAUGAAUUGACGGGGGCCCGCACAAGCGGUGGAGCAUGUGGUUUAAUUCGAUGCAACGCGAAGAACCUUACCUGGUCUUGACAUCCACAGAACCUUGUAGAGAUACGAGGGUGCCUUCGGGAACUGUGAGACAGGUGCUGCAUGGCUGUCGUCAGCUCGUGUUGUGAAAUGUUGGGUUAAGUCCCGCAACGAGCGCAACCCUUAUCCUUUGUUGCCAGCGGUCCGGCCGGGAACUCAAAGGAGACUGCCAGUGAUAAACUGGAGGAAGGUGGGGAUGACGUCAAGUCAUCAUGGCCCUUACGACCAGGGCUACACACGUGCUACAAUGGCGCAUACAAAGAGAAGCGACCUCGCGAGAGCAAGCGGACCUCAUAAAGUGCGUCGUAGUCCGGAUUGGAGUCUGCAACUCGACUCCAUGAAGUCGGAAUCGCUAGUAAUCGUGGAUCAGAAUGCCACGGUGAAUACGUUCCCGGGCCUUGUACACACCGCCCGUCACACCAUGGGAGUGGGUUGCAAAAGAAGUAGGUAGCUUAACCUUCGGGAGGGCGCUUACCACUUUGUGAUUCAUGACUGGGGUGAAGUCGUAACAAGGUAACCGUAGGGGAACCUGCGGUUGGAUCACCUCCUUA